CUGACUCUGCAACAAAUAGCUAUCGGACAAAAGUCUUACAAAAGCUACAAGAGAUUGUCGACAACCAGCAAGACAUCCUGGCCAUGCAGAGACAGUUACUGGCUGCAGUAGCGGUUACGGUGACAGAGGAAGGUGGGGAAAUCCUGGAAAAUGGGCCAUGCCAAACAGUGGAUGAACUGAAGAUCCUUGACAGGGAAUUGGAAAACAAAGAAAAAAGUGCCAAGAUGAAGAACUACCUUCGGUCC